GACGAACGCUGGCGGCGUGCCUAACACAUGCAAGUCAACUUGACUGAAGGAGCAAUCUGACAGUAGAGUGGCGCAAGGGUGCGUAACGCGUAAGUAACUUGCCCCAAGGUAAGGAAUAACGUCGAGAAAUCGGCGCUAAUACCUCAUAAUGCAGCGGAUCCGCAUGGAUAUGUUGUUAAAGGUUUACCGCCUUGGGAUAGGCUUGCGUCUGAUUAGCUAGUUGGUGUGGUAACGGCACACCAAGGCUACGAUCAGUAACUGGUCUGAGAGGAUGAUCAGUCACACUGGAACUGAGACACGGUCCAGACUCCUACGGGAGGCAGCAGUGAGGAAUAUUGGGCAAUGCUCGAAAGAGUGACCCAGCAACGCCGCGUGGAGGAUGAAGGUAUUCUAUAUCGUAAACUCCUGUGAGAGCAGACGAAAGAACAGAUUAUUAAUACUGGUAUGACUGUAUGCUCAGAAGGAAGCCCGGCUAACUACG
rnacentral:rRNA from 1 species